UUACCCAUUCACCUUAUUUAAGAACCCGGAUACAAAACAAUGUCCGAACGUUCUGUUUGUGGAGGGCUUCCGUUGUGGCGUUUUUGCCGUUUGCGAACGUUAGCUAGCUAGCUCAAAAUGUCGCGGGAUCAUAAUAAGAAAACCUUCGAAUGGCAAAUCUGUGCCACAUCCGCGGAUUAUUCAAGAGUGGGGGGGAGAUAUGAAAAAAUGGCCACAUAUGACCUAUGAUGACAUCUUCAAUUAUUUCGUCUCGUCUCUCGGUGUGGAUGGGUCAGAGAUGAGGAGCUACAAAACAGGCAUAUCAAUACCUCCACAGCAGCAAAGUUGAGCGGGUGCUUAUACCGAGGUAAAGACAGUUUCAGGUUGGAUAUUCGCCUGUAGUUUUCCUUACGUCCACCAACAGCAGUUAGGGACCGUCAACAUAGUGACAAAUCAACAUUUUCAAAUAUCAAUAGCUCUUUAACCAUUACUUCUAAAACUUUCAAAACUGAUUGUAGCUAACCCGAUGGCAUAGACACACAUUGCACACACUUUUUUUGUUGAUUUACAUCUCACACUAUUUUAAAUGAUUUAUUUACAUUUUUGAAUUUCAAUAGCGCAUUGGUCAUAUGACCUAGUGACUUCAAACAUGGUGCAGGAUGUCCACUGACUACCCUUCUAUAUUGCACACUCUUGUUUGUGUACUGUAAAAUCAUGCGGUGUAACGUACAUUUUUCAUAGUUUUAAAUUUAAAUAGCUCCUUGGUCAUGUCAAUUACACACCUAAGAAGCGUGCAGUGGAUAUACACCCAUAUUGCAUAACCUCUAGUCAUGUCUCUUCUACAUUGUUGUACAUUAAUAUUAGUUUGACAAUUAGCGGGUUCAGUCCAUUGUUGUGUUUACCCUUUUCUUUAAUAUUUAUCUAUAAUAAUUGGUAGUUCUAAGUACUUAUUUUCCCUGUAUUUCCCCCCCACAGUUUUUAACAGCGGUACACAAUAGGAGAGAGACGGAUAAUAUCUCCUUUCGUCGUUAAUAUCAACCAUAAAGGAAAAGGGCGAAGUACGAGAGUCAUGCUAUUAAUUGUCCAAAGCAGGGAUGGAGAGUGAGCUGGUGAGGUAGGCUGCAUUGGGUUUGCUGGUCAAUACAUAUACUGAACAUGUAACCACAGUAAUGGUGGCCAGUAAAUCAAUGAAUAAAAAUGUAAUGUUGACAAAUUAAACAGAAAUUGUAGACCUUUAAUCUUUUCCAACAUGUCAACAGACACUUAACUUCGAAUAAGUAUGAAACAUUUCACUGUGUUAACUUUCUCUUUAUCCCUAGUUGAUGUACAUUUCAGAGCCUCUUCAGUGUGGAUGGGGAAUAGCAUACAUUUUCAACAACAGUCUGCACUUCCAGUUUGUGUUCUUCACUCUGUUGAACUCUUUUGUCUUCAUUCCUAGGCACAGCACAUGGAACCACCGUUGGCAUGCAAAACAUUCAAUCUAAAACAAAAUCAAACAUAACACGUUAUAAAUUAUCAAUGCAGUAUGACGAAUGACGAAUUAGCCAUCCAUUGUGUUAUAUCAUAAAUUGUCUUACAUGCCGUCACUGUUGUCAAAAGAUUAUAAACAUGUUAAAUAAAGUUACUAACCCAGACAGUCUUUGGGCCACAUCCAGGUUCUUCAUCAGUGGCCCACAUGAAGCAGUUGUUGGCUUUGUUGAACUCUGAAAUCAUAGGCAUGAACUGAACAUAUGGCUGUCCCACACAAUUACAUAAAAAUAAAGAAUUUACAUUUACUUUGAAUUAAAUGUCAUUACAUACCAGACAUUUUUAGUAUAUCCUCUGCCAUUUAUUUUUGCAGUUCCAUGUGUUUUCGAAGGUUCCAUAUCUAUUUGGGAUGUUGGUCGAAGUUCUGUGCAACUUCCUUGGCCAUCUACACCAAAAAAUAAAAUUGAGUUUUUGACCUAAUUGUCACAUAACAGCUAACCAUUCAUUAUUGAAAAUAUAACUAUCAAACCUGCAUUACAAAGACCACGCAGCUGAAGGUGUCCUGCUGCAUGGUGGGAGUUAUUUCCCCUCCUUUCCACUUUAUGUACACCCAGUCGUCUUUUCCAUGGCAGGAUCUUCUCAUUUUGAAGUAUUCUCUUUUUUAUGUAAACAUAAUGGAAUUCUGAUUAGUUGUUGAGUACACAAGCCACAUUUGUAUGCUGUUUUCCUUUUUACUAUAAUCUAGUAGUAAUUUAGUAUUAGAGGUAAUUUCCUUUAUGACCCAUUCUACACACAGCCUAAAUUAUAGGCACUGAACCAUUUACAGGACAAUAAUAAAAGUAGCAUAUAGGAUCCAACCCUAUCACAGAGUGAAUAAAUGUAGAGCUUUUGUAGACUUUAAGAAAAAAAUAUUAAGUGACAGUUUCAUCAGUACGUGCUUAAAGAAAGUCAUAUCACAAAGAUCACAGAUGACAGUGCCCACCAAAUCUAUGACAAUAGAGAAUUAAUUGUAAGCACCAAAGUGUGUGUCAAAAUAAUAUCUGAAAAUGUCAGUUGUUAAACAUAAUUCUUCAAUUUGCAAUAGCAAUUUAUGAUAUAUGCAGGUGAGGAAUAUUCCAUGCACCAACACUACUUGUAGGACAGACAUUCCCACAUACAGUAUUUUUUUUAUUUCACGUUUAUUUAACCAGGUAAGCCAGUUGAGAACAAGUUCUCAUUUACAACUGCGACCUGGCCAAGAUAAAGCAAAGCAGUGUGACACAAACAACAACACAGAGUUACACAUGGAAUAAACAAACGUACAGUCAAUAACACAGUAGAAAAGUCUAUAUACAGUGUGUGCAAAUGAAGUAAGAUUAGGGAGGUAAGGCAAUAAAUAGGCCAUAGAGGAGAAAUAAUUACAAUUUCGCAAAUAAACACUGGAGUGAAAGAUGUGCAGAAGAUGAAUGUGCAAGUAGAGAUACUGGGGUGCAAAGGAGCAAAAAAUAUAUAAAUAAAAUAACUACAAUAUGAGGUAGUUGGAUGGGCUAUUUACAGAUGGGCUAUGUACAGGUGAAAUGAUCUGUAAGCUGCUCUGAUAGCUGAUGCUUAAAGAUAGUCAGGGAGAUAGGAGUCUCCAGCUUCAGUGAUUUUUGCAAUUUGUUCCAGUCAUUGGCAGCAGAGAACUGGAAGGAAAGGCGGCCAAAGGAGGAAUUGGCUUUGGGGUGACCAGUGAAAUAUACCUGCUGCGGCGCGUGCUGCUAUGGUGACCAGUGAGCUGAGAUAAGGCGGGGCUUUACCUAGCAAAGACUUAUAGAUGACCUGGAGCCAGUGGGUUUGGCAACGAAUAUGAAGCGAGGGCCAGCCAACCAGAGCAUACAUGUCGCAGUGGUGGGUAGUAUAUGGGGCUUUGAUGAUGAAACGGAUGGCACUGUGAUAGACUGCAUUCAAUUUGCUGAGUAGAGUGUUGGAGGCUAUUUUGUAAAUGACAUCGCUAAAUAAACUUCAGUUAGUGCUAAAUACGGCUGCUAGAAUCCUGACUAGAACCAAGAAAUUUGAUCAUAUUGCUCCAGUGCUAGCUUCCCUACACUGGCUUCCCGUUAAGGCAAGGGCUGAUUUCAAGGUUUUACUGUUAACCUAUAAAGCGUUACAUGGGCUUGCUCCUACCUAUCUUUCCGAGUUGGUCCUGCCGUACAUACCUACACGUACGCUACGGUCACAAGACGCAGGCCUCCUAAUUGUCCCUAAAAUUUCUAAGCAAACAGCUGGAGGCAGGGCUUUCUCCUAUAGAUCUCCAUUUUUAUGGAACAGUCUGCCUACCCAUGUGAGAGACGCAGACUCGGUCUCAACCUUUAAGUCUUUACUGAAGACUUAUCUCUUCAGUAGGUCAUAUGAUUGAGUGUAGUCUGGCCCAGGAGUGUGAAGGUGAACGGAAAGGCUCUGGAGCAACGAACCGCCCUUGCUGUCUCUCCAGGGCCGGUUCCCCUCUCUCCACUGGGAUUCUCUGCCUCUAACCCUGUUACUGGGGCUGAGUCACUGGCUUGCUGGUGCUCUUUCAUGCCGUCCCUAGGAGGGGUGCGUCACUUGAGUGGGUUGAGUUACUGACGUGAACUUCCUGUCUGGGUUGGCGCCCCCCCUUGGUUGUGCUGUGGUGGAGACCUUUGUGGGCUAUACUCGGCCUUGUCUCAGGAUUAACCUGAGCCCUAGGACCAUACGUCAGGACUACCGGGCAUGCUGACACCUUGCUGUCCCCAGUCCGCCCGGCCUUGCUGCUAUUCCAGUUUCAACUGUUUCUGCCUGCGGUUACGAAACCCCUACCUGUCCCAGACCUGCUGUUUUCAACUCUUAAUGAUCGGCUAUGAAAAGCCAACUGAGAUUUAUUCCUGAUUAUUAUUUGACCAUGCUUGUCAUUUAUGAACAUUUUGAAAAUCUUGGCUCUCUCUAAUUUUCUCCUUCUCUGUUUCUCUCGGAGGACCUGAGCCCUAGGACCAUACGUCGGGACUACCGGCCGUGGUGACUCCUUGCUGCCCCCAGUCCGCCUGGCCUUGCUGCUAUUCCAGUUUCAACUCUUCUGCCUGCGGUUAUGGAACCCCUACCUGUCCCAGACCUGCUGUUUUCAACUCUUAAUGAUCGGCUAUGAAAAGCCAACUGAGAUUUAUUCCUGAUCAUUAUUUGACCAUGCUUGUCAUUUAUGAACAUUUUGAAAAUCUUGGCUCUCUCUAAUUUUCUCCUUCUCUCUUUCUUUCUCUCGGAGGACCUGGGCCCUAGGACCAUGCGUCGGGACUGCCGCCCGUGGUGACUCCUUGCUGUCCCCAGUCCGCCUGGCCUUGCUGCUAUUCCAGUUUCAGCUGUUCUGCCUGCGGUUAUGGAACCGCCACCUGUCCCAGACCUUUUGUUUUUCAACUCUUAAUGAUCAGCUAUGAAAAGCCAACUGAAAAUUAUUCAUGAUUAUUAUUUGACCAUGCUUGUCACUUAUGAACAUUUUUGAACAUCUUGGCAUAGUUCUGUUAUAAUCUCCACCCGGCACAGCCAGAAGAGGACUGGCCACCCCUCAUAGCCUGGUUCCUCUCUAGGUUUCUUCCUAGGUUUUGGCCUUUCUAGGGAGUUUUUCCUAGCCACCGUGCUUCUACACCUGCAUUCUAGCUGUUUGGGGUUUUAGGCUGGGUUUCUGUACAGCACUUCGAGAUAUUAUCUGAUGUACGAAGGGCUAUAUAAAAUAAAAUUGAUUGAUUGAUUGAUUGAUCGCCGAAGUCAAGGAUCGAUAGGAUAGUCAAUUUUACGAGGGUAUGUUUGGCAGCAUGAGUGAAGGAGGCUUUGUUGCGAAAUAGGAAGCCGAUUCUAGAUUUAAUUUUGGAUUGGAGAUGCUUAAUAUGAGUCUGGAAGGAGAGUUUACAGUCUAACCAGACACCUAGGUAUUUGUAGUUGUCCACAUAUUCUAAGUCAGAACCGUCCAGAGUAGUGAUGCGUGCGGGCAGAUGCAGGCAGCGAUCGGUUGAAGCAUGCAUUUAGUUUUACUUGCGUUUAAGAGCAGUUGGAGGCCACGGAAGGAGAGUUGUAUGGGAUUGAAGCUAAUCUGGAGGUUAGUUAACGCAGUGUCCUAAGAAGGGCCAGAAGUAUACAGAAUGGUGUCAUCUGCGUAGAGGUGGAUCAGAGAAUCACCCGCCUCAAGAGCGACAAUAUUGAUGUAUACAGAGAAAAGAGUCGGCCCGAGAAUUGAACCCUGUGGCACCCCCAUAGACUGCCAGAGGUCCGGACAACAGGCCCUCCGAUUUGACACACUGAACUCUCUCUGAGAAAUAGUUGGUGAACCAGGUGAAGCAGUCAUUUGAGAAACCAAGGCUGUUGAGUCUGUCGAUAAGAAUACGGUGAUUGACAGAGUCGAAAGCCAUGGCCAGGUCAAUGAAGACGGCUGCACAGUACUGUUUUUUAUCGAUGGUGGUUAUGAUAUCGUUUAGGACCUUGAGCGUGACUGAGGUGCACCCGUGACCAGCUCGGAAACCGGAUUGCAUAGCGGAGAAGGUACGGUGGGAUUCGAGAUGGACGGUGAUCUGUUUGUUCACUUGGCUUUCGAAAACUUUAGAAAGGCAGGGCAGGAUAGAUAUAGGUCUGUAACAGUUUGGGUCUAGAGUAUCUCCCCCUUUGAAGAGGGGGAUGACCGCGGCUGCUUUCCAAUCUUUGGGGAUCUCAGACGAUACGAAGGAGAGGUUGAACAGGCAAGUAAUAGGGGUUGCAACAAUUGAUGCGGAUCAUUUUAGAAAGAGAAGGCCCAGAUUGUCUAGCCCAGCUGAUUUGUAGGGGUCCAGAUUUUGCAGCUCUUUCAGAACAUCAGCUAUCUGGAUUUGGGUGAAGAAGAAAUGGGGGAGGCUUGGGCAAUUGCUGUGGGGGGUGCAGAGCUGUUGACCGGGGUAGGGGUAGCCAGGUGGAAAGCAAGGCUGAAGCCAGCAGCAUACCACCCUGCAUACCACUGCUGGCUUGCUUCUGAAGCUAAGCAGGGUUGGUCCUGGUCAGUCCCUGGAUGGGAGACCAGAUGCUGCUGGAAGUGGUGUUGGAGGGCCAGUAGGAGGCACUCUUUCCUCUGGUCUAAAAAAUAUCCCAAUGCCCCAGGGCAGUGAUUGGGGACACUGCCCUGUGUAGGGUGCCGUCUUUCGGAUGGGACGUUAAACGGGUGUCCUGACUCUCUGAGGUCACUAAAGAUCCCAUGGCACUUAUCGUAAGAGUAGGGGUGUUAACCCCGGUGUCCUGGCUAAAUUCCCAAUCUGGCCCUCAAACCAUCAUGGUCACCUAAUAAUCCCCAGUUUACAAUUGGCUCAUUCAUCCCCCUCCUCUCCCCUGUAACUAUUCCCCAGGUCGUUGCUGCAAAUGAGAACGUGUUCUCAGUCAACUUACCUGGUAAAAUAACGGUAAAAUAAAA